rnacentral:rRNA from 1 species
GACGAACGCUGGCGGCGUGCUUAACACAUGCAAGUCGAGCGGUAAGGCCCUUUCGGGGGUACACGAGCGGCGAACGGGUGAGUAACACGUGGGUGACCUGCCCUCAGCUCUGGGAUAAGCCUGGGAAACCGGGUCCAAUACCGGAUAUGACUCCAUGACGCAUGUUGUGGGGUGGAAAGCCUUGUGCGGCUGAGGAUGGGCCCGCGGCCUAUCAGCUUGUUGGUGGGGUGAUGGCCUACCAAGGCGACGACGGGUAGCCGGCCUGAGAGGGCGACCGGCCACACUGGGACUGAGACACGGCCCAGACUCCUACGGGAGGCAGCAGUGGGGAAUCUUGCGCAAUGGGCGAAAGCCUGACGCAGCGACGCCGCGUGAGGGAUGACGGCCU